GCUUUUGGAUAUUCUGGCUAUUCUAGUGGCGGACGGGCGAGUAACGCGUGAGUAACCUGCCCUUCAGUGGGAACAACAGUUGGAAACGGCUGCUAAUACCGCAUAAUGGCCACCGGGCAUCCCGGAGGUACCAAAGGAGCAAUUCGCUGAAGGAUGAACUCGCGUCCGAUUAGCUAGUUGGUGAGGUAACGGCCCACCAAGGCGACGAUCGGUAGCCGAACUGAGAGGUUGAUCGGCCGCAUUGGGACUGAGACACGGCCCAGACUCCUACGGGAGGCAGCAGUGGGGGAUAUUGCACAAUGGAGGAAACUCUGAUGCAGCAACGCCGCGUGAGGGAAGACGGUCUUCGGAUUGUAAACCUAAGUUAUCAGGGACGAACAAGAUGACGGUACCUGAAGAGAAAGCUCCGGCUAACUACGUGCCAGCAGCCGCGGUAAUACGUAGGGAGCGAGCGUUGUCCGGAUUUACUGGGUGUAAAGGGUGCGUAGGCGGGUCGGCAAGUCAGGCGUGAAAUCCCGCGGCUUAACUGCGGGGCUGCGCUUGAAACUGUCGAUCUUGAGUGAAGUAGAGGCAAGCGGAAUUCCUAGUGUAGCGGUGAAAUGCGUAGAUAUUAGGAGGAACACCAGUGGCGAAGGCGGCUUGCUGGGCUUUAACUGACGCUGAGGCACGAAAGCAUGGGGAGCAAACAGGAUUAGAUACCCUGGUAGUCCAUGCCGUAAACGAUGAUUGCUAGGUGUGGGGGGUCGACUCCCUCCGUGCCGGAGUAAACGCAAUAAGCAAUCCACCUGGGGAGUA
rnacentral:rRNA from 1 species